UACGAAGGGGGCUAGCGUUGCUCGGAAUCACUGGGCGUAAAGCGCACGUAGGCGGCUUCUUAAGUCAGGGGUGAAAUCCUGGAGCUCAACUCCAGAACUGCCCUUGAUACUGAGGAGCUUGAGUCCGGGAGAGGUGAGUGGAACUCCUAGUGUAGAGGUGGAAUUCGUAGAUAUUAGGAAGAACACCAGUGGCGAAGGCGGCUCACUGGUCCGGUACUGACGCUGAGGUGCGAAAGCGUGGGGAGCAAACAGG
rnacentral:rRNA from 1 species